rnacentral:rRNA from 1 species
AUUGAACGCUGGCGGCAGGCCUAACACAUGCAAGUCGAGCGGUAGCACAGAGAGCUUGCUCUCGGGUGACGAGCGGCGGACGGGUGAGUAAUGUCUGGGAAACUGCCUGAUGGAGGGGGAUAACUACUGGAAACGGUAGCUAAUACCGCAUAAUGUCGCAAGACCAAAGUGGGGGACCUUCGGGCCUCAUGCCAUCAGAUGUGCCCAGAUGGGAUUAGCUAGUAGGUGGGGUAACGGCUCACCUAGGCGACGAUCCCUAGCUGGUCUGAGAGGAUGACCAGCCACACUGGAACUGAGACACGGUCCAGACUCCUACGGGAGGCAGCAGUGGGGAAUAUUGCACAAUGGGCGCAAGCCUGAUGCAGCCAUGCCGCGUGUGUGAAGAAGGCCUUCGGGUUGUAAAGCACUUUCAGCGGGGAGGAAGGCGGUGAGGUUAAUAACCUCAUCGAUUGACGUUACCCGCAGAAGAAGCACCGGCUAACUCCGUGCCAGCAGCCGCGGUAAUACGGAGGGUGCAAGCGUUAAUCGGAAUUACUGGGCGUAAAGCGCACGCAGGCGGUCUGUCAAGUCGGAUGUGAAAUCCCCGGGCUCAACCUGGGAACUGCAUUCGAAACUGGCAGGCUAGAGUCUUGUAGAGGGGGGUAGAAUUCCAGGUGUAGCGGUGAAAUGCGUAGAGAUCUGGAGGAAUACCGGUGGCGAAGGCGGCCCCCUGGACAAAGACUGACGCUCAGGUGCGAAAGCGUGGGGAGCAAACAGGAUUAGAUACCCUGGUAGUCCACGCCGUAAACGAUGUCGAUUUGGAGGUUGUGCCCUUGAGGCGUGGCUUCCGGAGCUAACGCGUUAAAUCGACCGCCUGGGGAGUACGGCCGCAAGGUUAAAACUCAAAUGAAUUGACGGGGGCCCGCACAAGCGGUGGAGCAUGUGGUUUAAUUCGAUGCAACGCGAAGAACCUUACCUGGUCUUGACAUCCACAGAACUUUCCAGAGAUGGAUUGGUGCCUUCGGGAACUGUGAGACAGGUGCUGCAUGGCUGUCGUCAGCUCGUGUUGUGAAAUGUUGGGUUAAGUCCCGCAACGAGCGCAACCCUUAUCCUUUGUUGCCAGCGGUCCGGCCGGGAACUCAAAGGAGACUGCCAGUGAUAAACUGGAGGAAGGUGGGGAUGACGUCAAGUCAUCAUGGCCCUUACGACCAGGGCUACACACGCGCUACAAUGGCAUAUACAAAGAGAAGCGACCUCGCGAGAGCAAGCGGACCUCAUAAAGUAUGUCGUAGUCCGGAUUGGAGUCUGCAACUCGACUCCAUGAAGUCGGAAUCGCUAGUAAUCGUAGAUCAGAAUGCUACGGUGAAUACGUUCCCGGGCCU